GGCGGCGUGGAUAAGACAUGCAAGUCGAACGCUUGUUUCCCGGUAGCAAUAUUGGGGAGCAGGAGUGGCGCAAGGGUGCGUAACACGUGGAUCAUCUGCCUGGAAGUCCGGAAUAAUUCCGCGAAAGCGGGACUAAUGCCGGAUGUGGUUGGAAGACUAAAGCUGGGGACCGCAAGGCCUGGCGCUUCCAGAUGAGUCCGCGGCCUAUCAGCUAGUUGGCGGGGUAAUGGCCCACCAAGGCUAAGACGGGUAGCUGGUCUGAGAGGACGACCAGCCUCACUGGAACUGAGACACGGUCCAGACACCUACGGGUGGCAGCAGUCGAGAAUUUUUCUCAAUGGGGGAAACCCUGAAGGAGCGACGCCGCGUGGGGGAUGAAGGGCUUCGGCCCGUAAACCCCUCUCAUUUGCGAACAAGUGCCAUGGU
rnacentral:rRNA from 1 species